UAAAAAUAAAAACCCAGAGACUGCAUUAAGAAAAGUAUUUGUUAUUUUCUCUUUUCAGGAACAAUAUUAGACUUGUACAGUUGACCUAAAUAAUAUUCAGGAUUGAGCUCAAGUCUUCUCUGUGUAUCCCCAAAGCUCAGAUGGUUUAAGGACACAAAGAAAUGUCUCUGGACCAUGAGAGCUCAUUUUUCCCAGCAUGGAUUGAAUGCAGGCAGGUGAGUGGGAAUCAGUGACUCCCCCAGCCAAGGAACAGAGCUUACCCAGGAUCUGCAGUAGGAGAAGGAUGGAGAGAGCAGAGCUGCAGCCUGUUCCUCACAGAACCAUCCCCAGCGGCCUCUCCAAGGGCAGCAGGCAGAAUCUCUCCCCACCAAGUGAAAUUGUGCACCUCCAAAAAGGAAAGGACUCAGCAGAUGGAGAAUGUUGGUGGAGCUUGUACCUGUGUGCUUGGGCAGCAGGAAACAACUGCGUGCUCAAGAGUGUUAAAACAAGAAACAGCUGAGUGUUCCUGGUGCCAGGUCAUGGGGGGAAAUUUUGUGCGUUUGCAAAGCAGGUACCACACAAAUGAGCAUGAACAAUUUGCCUUAAAUGUAUCUGCAAGGCAUCCAAACUCGUGAACGUGAUGAUUAAUACAGUCUUAGCUGUGAGUUUUUAGAGUGUGUUCUGUAUUUUUUCAAUAAAUUUUAUACUUCCCUG
rnacentral:lncRNA from 1 species